UAAUACCGCAUAUUCUGUGCGCAGGAAAGCAGGGGAUCGCAAGACCUUGCGCUGAUUGAGCGGCCGAUAUCAGAUUAGCUAGUUGGUGAGGUAAAGGCUCACCAAGGCGACGAUCUGUAGCGGGUCUGAGAGGAUGAUCCGCCACACUGGAACUGAGACACGGUCCAGACUCCUACGGGAGGCAGCAGUGGGGAAUUUUGGACAAUGGGCGCAAGCCUGAUCCAGCCAUGCCGCGUGAGUGAAGAAGGCCUUCGGGUUGUAAAGCUCUUUCGGCCGGGAAGAAAUCGUAUGGGUUAAUACCCUGUGCGGAUGACGGUACCGGCAUAAGAAGCACCGGCUAACUACGUG
rnacentral:rRNA from 1 species